UACGUAGGGUCCGAGCGUUGUCCGGAAUUAUUGGGCGUAAAGGGCUCGUAGGCGGUCUGUCGCGUCGGGAGUGAAAACUCAGGGCUCAACCCUGAGCGUGCUUCCGAUACGGGCAGACUAGAGGUAUGCAGGGGAGAACGGAAUUCCUGGUGUAGCGGUGAAAUGCGCAGAUAUCAGGAGGAACACCGGUGGCGAAGGCGGUUCUCUGGGCAUUACCUGACGCUGAGGAGCGAAAGUGUGGGGAGCGAACAGG
rnacentral:rRNA from 1 species